GGGUUGUGAGGUUAAGCGACUAAGCGUACACGGUGGAUGCCCUGGCAGUCAGAGGCGAUGAAGGACGUGCUAAUCUGCGAUAAGCGUCGGUAAGGUGAUAUGAACCGUUAUAACCGGCGAUUUCCGAAUGGGGAAACCCAGUGUGUUUCGACACACUAUCAUUAACUGAAUCCAUAGGUUAAUGAGGCGAACCGGGGGAACUGAAACAUCUAAGUACCCCGAGGAAAAGAAAUCAACCGAGAUUCCCCCAGUAGCGGCGAGCGAACGGGGAGCAGCCCAGAGCCUGAAUCAGUGUGUGUGUUAGUGGAAGCGUCUGGAAAGGCGCGCGAUACAGGGUGACAGCCCCGUACACAAAAAUGCACAUGCUGUGAGCUCGAUGAGUAGGGCGGGACACGUGGUAUCCUGUCUGAAUAUGGGGGGACCAUCCUCCAAGGCUAAAUACUCCUGACUGACCGAUAGUGAACCAGUACCGUGAGGGAAAGGCGAAAAGAACCCCGGCGAGGGGAGUGAAAAAGAACCUGAAACCGUGUACGUACAAGCAGUGGGAGCACGCUUAGGCGUGUGACUGCGUACCUUUUGUAUAAUGGGUCAGCGACUUAUAUUCUGUAGCAAGGUUAACCGAAUAGGGGAGCCGAAGGGAAACCGAGUCUUAACUGGGCGUUAAGUUGCAGGGUAUAGACCCGAAACCCGGUGAUCUAGCCAUGGGCAGGUUGAAGGUUGGGUAACACUAACUGGAGGACCGAACCGACUAAUGUUGAAAAAUUAGCGGAUGACUUGUGGCUGGGGGUGAAAGGCCAAUCAAACCGGGAGAUAGCUGGUUCUCCCCGAAAGCUAUUUAGGUAGCGCCUCGUGAAUUCAUCUCCGGGGGUAGAGCACUGUUUCGGCAAGGGGGUCAUCCCGACUUACCAACCCGAUGCAAACUGCGAAUACCGGAGAAUGUUAUCACGGGAGACACACGGCGGGUGCUAACGUCCGUCGUGAAGAGGGAAACAACCCAGACCGCCAGCUAAGGUCCCAAAGUCAUGGUUAAGUGGGAAACGAUGUGGGAAGGCCCAGACAGCCAGGAUGUUGGCUUAGAAGCAGCCAUCAUUUAAAGAAAGCGUAAUAGCUCACUGGUCGAGUCGGCCUGCGCGGAAGAUGUAACGGGGCUAAACCAUGCACCGAAGCUGCGGCAGCGACACUAUGUGUUGUUGGGUAGGGGAGCGUUCUGUAAGCCUGUGAAGGUGUGCUGUGAGGCAUGCUGGAGGUAUCAGAAGUGCGAAUGCUGACAUAAGUAACGAUAAAGCGGGUGAAAAGCCCGCUCGCCGGAAGACCAAGGGUUCCUGUCCAACGUUAAUCGGGGCAGGGUGAGUCGACCCCUAAGGCGAGGCCGAAAGGCGUAGUCGAUGGGAAACAGGUUAAUAUUCCUGUACUUGGUGUUACUGCGAAGGGGGGACGGAGAAGGCUAUGUUGGCCGGGCGACGGUUGUCCCGGUUUAAGCGUGUAGGCUGGUUUUCCAGGCAAAUCCGGAAAAUCAAGGCUGAGGCGUGAUGACGAGGCACUACGGUGCUGAAGCAACAAAUGCCCUGCUUCCAGGAAAAGCCUCUAAGCAUCAGGUAACAUCAAAUCGUACCCCAAACCGACACAGGUGGUCAGGUAGAGAAUACCAAGGCGCUUGAGAGAACUCGGGUGAAGGAACUAGGCAAAAUGGUGCCGUAACUUCGGGAGAAGGCACGCUGAUAUGUAGGUGAAGUCCCUCGCGGAUGGAGCUGAAAUCAGUCGAAGAUACCAGCUGGCUGCAACUGUUUAUUAAAAACACAGCACUGUGCAAACACGAAAGUGGACGUAUACGGUGUGACGCCUGCCCGGUGCCGGAAGGUUAAUUGAUGGGGUUAGCGCAAGCGAAGCUCUUGAUCGAAGCCCCGGUAAACGGCGGCCGUAACUAUAACGGUCCUAAGGUAGCGAAAUUCCUUGUCGGGUAAGUUCCGACCUGCACGAAUGGCGUAAUGAUGGCCAGGCUGUCUCCACCCGAGACUCAGUGAAAUUGAACUCGCUGUGAAGAUGCAGUGUACCCGCGGCAAGACGGAAAGACCCCGUGAACCUUUACUAUAGCUUGACACUGAACAUUGAGCCUUGAUGUGUAGGAUAGGUGGGAGGCUUUGAAGUGUGGACGCCAGUCUGCAUGGAGCCGACCUUGAAAUACCACCCUUUAAUGUUUGAUGUUCUAACGUUGACCCGUAAUCCGGGUUGCGGACAGUGUCUGGUGGGUAGUUUGACUGGGGCGGUCUCCUCCUAAAGAGUAACGGAGGAGCACGAAGGUUGGCUAAUCCUGGUCGGACAUCAGGAGGUUAGUGCAAUGGCAUAAGCCAGCUUGACUGCGAGCGUGACGGCGCGAGCAGGUGCGAAAGCAGGUCAUAGUGAUCCGGUGGUUCUGAAUGGAAGGGCCAUCGCUCAACGGAUAAAAGGUACUCCGGGGAUAACAGGCUGAUACCGCCCAAGAGUUCAUAUCGACGGCGGUGUUUGGCACCUCGAUGUCGGCUCAUCACAUCCUGGGGCUGAAGUAGGUCCCAAGGGUAUGGCUGUUCGCCAUUUAAAGUGGUACGCGAGCUGGGUUUAGAACGUCGUGAGACAGUUCGGUCCCUAUCUGCCGUGGGCGCUGGAGAACUGAGGGGGGCUGCUCCUAGUACGAGAGGACCGGAGUGGACGCAUCACUGGUGUUCGGGUUGUCAUGCCAAUGGCACUGCCCGGUAGCUAAAUGCGGAAGAGAUAAGUGCUGAAAGCAUCUAAGCACGAAACUUGCCCCGAGAUGAGUUCUCCCUGAC
rnacentral:rRNA from 1 species